AUUGAACGCUGGCGGCAGGCCUAACACAUGCAAGUCGAACGGUAACAGGAAGCAGCUUGCUGCUUUGCUGACGAGUGGCGGACGGGUGAGUAAUGUCUGGGAAACUGCCCGAUGGAGGGGGAUAACUACUGGAAACGGUAGCUAAUACCGCAUAACGUCGCAAGACCAAAGAGGGGGACCUUAGGGCCUCUUGCCAUCGGAUGUGCCCAGGUGGGAUUAGCUAGUAGGUGGGGUAACGGCUAACCUAGGCGACGAUCCCUAGCUGGUCUGAGAGGAUGACCAGCCACACUGGAACUGAGACACGGUCCAGACUCCUACGGGAGGCAGCAGUGGGGAAUAUUGCACAAUGGGCGCAAGCCUGAUGCAGCCAUGCCGCGUGUAUGAAGAAGGCCUUCGGGUUGUAAAGUACUUUCAGCGGGGAGGAAGGGAGUAAAGUUAAUACCUGUGCUCAUUGACGUUACCCGCAGAAGAAGCACCGGCUAACUCCGUG
rnacentral:rRNA from 1 species